GGGUUGUGAGGUUAAGCGACUAAGCGUACACGGUGGAUGCCCUGGCAGUCAGAGGCGAUGAAGGACGUGCUAAUCUGCGAAAAGCGUCGGUAAGGUGAUAUGAACCGUUAUAGCCGGCGAUGUCCGAAUGGGGAAACCCAGUGCAAUUCGUUGCACUAUCGUUAACUGAAUACAUAGGUUAACGAGGCGAACCGGGGGAACUGAAACAUCUAAGUACCCCGAGGAAAAGAAAUCAACCGAGAUUCCCCCAGUAGCGGCGAGCGAACGGGGAGCAGCCCAGAGUCUGAAUCAGCUUGUGUGUUAGUGGAACGGUCUGGAAAGUCCGACGGUACAGGGUGAUAGUCCCGUACACCAAAAUGCACAGGCUGUGAACUCGAAGAGUAGGGCGGGACACGUGGUAUCCUGUCUGAAUAUGGGGGGACCAUCCUCCAAGGCUAAAUACUCCUGACUGACCGAUAGUGAACCAGUACCGUGAGGGAAAGGCGAAAAGAACCCCGGCGAGGGGAGUGAAAAAGAACCUGAAACCGUGUACGUACAAGCAGUGGGAGCACCUUCGGGUGUGACUGCGUACCUUUUGUAUAAUGGGUCAGCGACUUAUAUUCUGUAGCAAGGUUAACCGUAUAGGGGAGCCGCAGGAAACCGAGUCUUAACUGGGCGUUAAGUUGCAGGGUAUAGACCCGAAACCCGGUGAUCUAGCCAUGGGCAGGUUGAAGGUUGGGUAACACUAACUGGAGGACCGAACCGACUAAUGUUGAAAAAUUAGCGGAUGACUUGUGGCUGGGGGUGAAAGGCCAAUCAAACCGGGAGAUAGCUGGUUCUCCCCGAAAGCUAUUUAGGUAGCGCCUCGUGAACUCAUCUUCGGGGGUAGAGCACUGUUUCGGCUAGGGGUCAUCCCGACUUACCAACCCGAUGCAAACUACGAAUACCGAAGAAUGUUAUCACGGAGACACACGGCGGGUGCUAACGUCCGUCGUGAAGAGGGAAACAACCCAGACCGCCAGCUAAGGUCCCAAAGUCAUGGUUAAGUGGGAAACGAUGUGGGAAGGCACAGACAGCCGGGAUGUUGGCUUAGAAGCAGCCAUCAUUUAAAGAAAGCGUAAUAGCUCACUGGUCGAGUCGGCCUGCGCGGAAGAUGUAACGGGGCUAAACCAUGCACCGAAGCUGCGGCAGCGACACUAUGUGUUGUUGGGUAGGGGAGCGUUCUGUAAGCCUGCGAAGGUGACCUGUGAGGGUUGCUGGAGGUAUCAGAAGUGCGAAUGCUGACAUAAGUAACGAUAAAGCGGGUGAAAAGCCCGCUCGCCGGAAGACCAAGGGUUCCUGUCCAACGUUAAUCGGGGCAGGGUGAGUCGACCCUAAGGCGAGGCCGAAAGGCGUAGUCGAUGGGAAACAGGUUAAUAUUCCUGUACUUGGUGUUACUGCGAAGGGGGACGGAGAAGGCUAUGUUAGCCGGGCGACGGUUGUCCCGGUUUAAGCAUGUAGGCUGGUUGUCGAGCAAAUCCGGAUAAUCAAGGCUGAGGUGUGAUGACGAGGCACUACGGUGCUGAAGUAACAAAUGCCCUGCUUCCGUGAAAAGCCUCUAAGCAUCAGGUAACAUUAAAUCGUACCCCAAACCGACACAGGUGGUCAGGUAGAGAAUACCAAGGCGCUUGAGAGAACUCGGGUGAAGGAACUAGGCAAAAUGGUGCCGUAACUUCGGGAGAAGGCACGCUGGUGUGUAGGUGAAGUCCCUGCGGAUGGAGCUGAGACCAGUCGAAGAUACCAGCUGGCUGCAACUGUUUAUUAAAAACACAGCACUGUGCAAACACGAAAGUGGACGUAUACGGUGUGACGCCUGCCCGGUGCCGGAAGGUUAAUUGAUGGGGUUAUCCGUAAGGAGAAGCUCUUGAUCGAAGCCCCGGUAAACGGCGGCCGUAACUAUAACGGUCCUAAGGUAGCGAAAUUCCUUGUCGGGUAAGUUCCGACCUGCACGAAUGGCGUAAUGAUGGCGGGCUGUCUCCACCCGAGACUCAGUGAAAUUGAACUCGCUGUGAAGAUGCAGUGUACCCGCGGCAAGACGGAAAGACCCCGUGAACCUUUACUAUAGCUUGACACUGAACAUUGAGCCUUGAUGUGUAGGAUAGGUGGGAGGCUUUGAAGCGUGGACGCCAGUCUGCGUGGAGCCAACCUUGAAAUACCACCCUUUAAUGUUUGAUGUUCUAACGUUGGCCCCUUACCGGGGUUGCGGACAGUGUCUGGUGGGUAGUUUGACUGGGGCGGUCUCCUCCCAAAGCGUAACGGAGGAGCACGAAGGUUAGCUAAUCUGGUCGGACAUCAGGAGGUUAGUGCAAUGGCAUAAGCUAGCUUGACUGCGAGCGUGACGGCGCGAGCAGGUGCGAAAGCAGGUCAUAGUGAUCCGGUGGUUCUGAAUGGAAGGGCCAUCGCUCAACGGAUAAAAGGUACUCCGGGGAUAACAGGCUGAUACCGCCCAAGAGUUCAUAUCGACGGCGGUGUUUGGCACCUCGAUGUCGGCUCAUCACAUCCCGGGCUGAAGUAGGUCCCAAGGGUAUGGCUGUUCGCCAUUUAAAGUGGUACGCGAGCUGGGUUUAGAACGUCGUGAGACAGUUCGGUCCCUAUCUGCCGUGGGCGCUGGAGAAUUGAGGGGGCUGCUCCUAGUACGAGAGGACCGGAGUGGACGCAUCACUGGUGUUCGGGUUGUCAUGCCAAUGGCACUGCCCGGUAGCUAAAUGCGGAAGAGAUAAGUGCUGAAAGCAUCUAAGCACGAAACUUGCCCCGAGAUGAGUUCUCCCUGAGACUUUAAGUCUCCUGAAGGAACGUUAAAGACGAUGACGUUGAUAGGCCGGGUGUGUAAGCGCAGCGAUGCGUUGAGCUAACCGGUACUAAUGAACCGUGAGGCUUAACCUUACAACGCCGAAG
rnacentral:rRNA from 1 species